GCGGGUGUAAUUCAGUGGUAGAAUGCAAGCUUCCCAAGCUUGACGUCGCGGGUUCGAACCCCGUCGCCCGCU
rnacentral:tRNA from 1 species